UAAAAAAAAAAAAACUGGGAAGGGGAUUUGGGAAAUCCUAAAAAACGGGAGGGAAAAAUGCUGAAAAAAUCCUAAAAAAUGGGGGGAAAUCCUAAAAAAAUGGGUGGAAAAUCUUAAAAUUUGGGGUAAAAUAUUUAAAAAAAUAGGGGAAAAUUGUAAAAAGAUUUGGAGGAAAAUUUUAGAAAAAUGGGGAAAAAGAAUCUUAUAAAAAUUGGGGGAAAAAAAUCUUAAAAAUUUGGGGGAAAAUCUUAAAGAAUUUUGGGGAAAAUCUUAAAAAAUUUGGGGGAAAAUCUUAAAAAAUUUGGGGGAAAAUCUUAAAAAUUUUGGGGAAAAUCUUAAAAAAAUUUGGGGGAAAAUUGUAAAAAAAUUUUGGGGGAAAAUUGUAAAAAAAUUUUGGGGGAAAAUCCUAAAAAAAUUUUGGGGAAAAAUCUUGGGGAAAAGGGAAAAUUCCCUAAAAUUCCCUAAAAUCCCCCCUGGGUGUCUCUGCAGGUGCGGCCGGAGCCGGUGGCGCCAGGUGGGACACGGAGGGGACACCUGGGACACACCUGAGUGUGACACCUGGGACAUUCCUGAGUGGGACACCUGGGACACACCUGAGUGGGACACACCUGAGUGUGACACACCUGGGCUCGGCCCUGUGUGUGUGACACAACCCUUGGCGGUGUUGGGGACACGGGGAGUGACACAGGUGUGGCACAGGUGUGACACAGGUGACAACGCGUGACAGGUGUCACCGAUGUCCCUGGGCUUGUCCCACCUGUCCUUGUCACACCUGCCCAGGU
rnacentral:lncRNA from 1 species